GAUGAACGCUGGCGGCAGGCCUAACACAUGCAAGUCGAGCGAGGACUUCGGUCCUAGCGGCGGACGGGUGAGUAACGCGUGGGAACGUGCCCUUUGCUACGGAAUAGCCCCGGGAAACUGGGAGUAAUACCGUAUGUGCCCUUCGGGGGAAAGAUUUAUCGGCAAAGGAUCGGCCCGCGUUGGAUUAGGUAGUUGGUGGGGUAAUGGCCUACCAAGCCGACGAUCCAUAGCUGGUUUGAGAGGAUGAUCAGCCACACUGGGACUGAGACACGGCCCAGACUCCUACGGGAGGCAGCAGUGGGGAAUCUUAGACAAUGGGGGAAACCCUGAUCUAGCCAUGCCGCGUGAGCGAUGAAGGCCUUAGGGUUGUAAAGCUCUUUCAGUGGGGAAGAUAAUGACGGUACCCACAGAAGAAGCCCCGGCUAACUCCGUGCCAGCCGCCGCGGUAAGAC
rnacentral:rRNA from 1 species